rnacentral:rRNA from 1 species
UACAGAGGUCCCGAGCGUUGUUCGGAUUCAUUGGGCGUAAAGGGCGCGUAGGCGGCUUCCUAAGUUUGAUGUGAAAUCCUGGGGCUCAACCCUGGAACUGCAUUGAAUACUGGGAGGCUAGAGUACUGGAGAGGAAACUGGAAUUUACGGUGUAGCAGUGAAAUGCGUAGAGAUCGUAAGGAAGACCAGUGGCGAAGGCGAGUUUCUGGACAGUUACUGACGCUGAGGCACGAAGGCCAGGGGAGCAAACGGG